rnacentral:lncRNA from 1 species
AUGAAGAUCAAGAAGUGGAGAGAUGAAGCUUUGGGGUUCAGUAGAGUGAUGAGGCAGAAACAGUAACUUCAGAGAUUUACCAUGGUAACUUUAGAAUUUACCUCAGUUACUUUGGAGUUACCAUGUCUGGAUGGAAGUGACUUGGGAAGUUACCUUGGCUCUAUCCUAAUGAAGGAACUCGUCCAAGAGAGGGAUGGAUAAGGUUUGGGGCUAGCUGGAAAGGUAAAGCUACUUUACAGCCUGUCCAAGCAUGUGAAGCAUCUCAGCCUAUUAUUUGUAUUGACCUCACAUGCUUAUAGGUCUAAGUUGAAUUCACUGAACCUAGACAUGAUUGUAAUCUCCUUAUACCUUGUAUGCUCUCAUCUGAAUGAAUUAAUCUGAGUUUUGAGACUAUCUCUCUCUCUAAUCUUUCUACUCUCUCUCUCAUUACUCUAAUCUCUUAAUUCUCUUAAUCUACUUACUCAAAUCAAUCUUAUUCUCUCUUAAUCCACGUUCUACACUCACUAAAUCAAAAUCUAAUAUGGUAUCAGAGCCAGGUUGCUCUAAAACCUGAGUUCAUUCCGCAAAUUUGUGUUCUUGGAGAUUCUGGGUUUGUGAGUGUGCUUGAAGAUUUGGUAUUCUGGGUUAUUGGUGUGUUGAGGUUCUCUUCUUGUAGAUGGAAACAGACGACACCAUGGUGGAGCUAUGUACAACAGUUACUCCUGAUGAGUGGAAUCGUGGGGGUGAAGUGAUUACAAAGCAGAUGGGUGAAGGCAAGUGGAUUCAAGAGAAUCAUGGAACACUUGGGAUCAUCCAGAGGUCGCUCUCAAGUUCAACCCUGGAAGCUGAUGGUCAUGAAGGGACAGCUAAGGAGUUGUGGGAGAGUAUGGAAGCUGUGUAUGAGGACAGAUCGCAUCUAUGCAAGGUUUUUGUGGUUAAGCGGGCCAUUGAGAAUCUGAGGCAAGAUGGAGAAGAGCUCAGUAAGCAUCUUGAACGCUUUAAGAGCUUAUGGGCAGAGUUGAAGGCACUCAGACUGAGUACCUCAGAUAAAGACAUACUGAAGAGAAGGCUAGAGCAAGAUGAAGUGUUUAGUCUUCUGCUGAGUUUAGAUAAGUCUUAUGAUAAACUGGUCAAGAAGAUCCUCACGGAAGAAGUCCUACCUGAUGUGGAGAGUGUGUGUGGUUUGGUGAAGCAUGAGCAAGCAACGAUGCAGCCGGAUAAGAGGAGAAAGAUUACUGAGCUAGAACAAGUAAUCACCGGCAAGAGCUUGUAUUCAGCAUACAUAGGAGACAUAAAAGAUGGGGAUAGCUUAACAAACAGACACGAGAAGGGUGGAGCUGAUGAGGUGAUUACCAGAAGAGAAUGGGAUGCAUUUGUAGCCAAAGCGAAAGCACUCACUGCAUCAAAGAAGCAAGGAAGUCAUUCAGUAAGGUCUAAACCUAUUAUUGUGGAUUCUGGAGCCAGUCAUCACAUGAUCAGUGAUAGGAGUCUGAUGGAUGAAGUGAGAGCAGCUACUGGAAAUGUUCAGAUAGCAAAUGGAGAUAAAAUUCCUAUAGAAAGGAUAGGAAGCUUGAAGCUAUUUGACAGGGAGUCAACAGCCUUGUACCUGCCUCAGUUUACCUCCAAUUUGAUAUCUGUAAAGAGAGCUACUAUUGAUUUGCAAUGUCAAGUAGUAUUCAGGCCACAGGAGGUUGAGUUUCAAGAUCUUGUUACGGGUCAAGUGAUUGGAAAGGGGAGCAGUACCAACAAUCUAUACCAGCUACAAUCAACUAAGCUCUCUAAACCCUCUAUCUCUAUAUGCAUGAGUAGUACUGCUGAUGGCUGUGAUAGUAUUACUUGGCAUGCUAGAUUAGGACAUCCUCAUACUCGCGCCCUUGAGCUAAUGAUGCCUAAUCUAUCAGUUAAUCACCUUGAAUGUGAAGCAUGCAUACUAGGGAAGCAUUGCAAAACUGUCUUUCCCACAUCUGAAACUGUCUAUGAGAAAUGCUUUGACUUAAUACACUCUGAUGUGUGGACAUCUCCAUGUAUAUCUAGGGAUAAGCAUAAGUAUUUUGUGACUUUCAUAGAUGAAAAAUCUAAGUAUACAUGGGUCACAUUGCUUCCCUCCAAGGAUAGAGUGUUAGAGGCAUUUAUAAACUUCCAAGCUUAUGUCACUAAUCACUAUAAUGCUACUGUGAAGGUACUAAGGUCAGACAAUGGAGGUGAAUACACUAGCCAUGCAUUCAAGAAUCAUCUGAUGAAGCAUGGGAUAGUUCAUCAAACCAGCUGUCCCUACACUCCACAACAGAAUGGUGUGGCUGAGAGGAAGAACAGACACCUGAUGGAAGUAGCAAGAUCAAUGAUGUUUCAUUCGAAUGUUCCCAAGAGAUUUUGGAGUGAUGCAGUUGUCUCAGCAUGUUAUCUCAUCAACAGGACACCGACGAAAGUUCUGAGGGAUCUAUCUCCAUUUGAGGUACUGAACAAGGCUAGGCCGCAGAUUCAACAUCUGAGAGUGUUUGGGUGUACCUGCUAUGUAUUGGUUCCAGGAGAGCUGAGGAAGAAGCUUGAUGCAAAGAGCACUAAGGCUAUGUUUAUUGGAUACUCCAUUACUCAGAAAGGGUAUAAGUGCUAUGAUCCAAUAACAGGGAGGGUGUUGGUGUCUAGAGAUGUCAAAUUCAUUGAAGGAAAAGGGUAUUAUGAAGAAAAGAUAUGAGAAGAUUUGAAGGAUCUUCCACAAACGCCAUCAGAUAAGGCAACAAAUCUGAGGAAAAUAUUGGAGAAUCUUGGGAUUAGCAUGACCCAGGAUCAGGGAACAAGAAGAGAACCACCAAGAAGCACAAGUACUCAUGAGGAGGAAAGUGAAAGGAGGUCCCCUCUUGAUCAUGAGGGGGGAAGUGAAGCUGAAUCAGGAGUGCAACAACAACAGCAAAGUGAUUCAGGAAGUCAUGAUCAAGGAGAGACACAAGGAGAAGAGAGUCCAAGAUCAGAUGGAGAUGCGCAGGCUGAUAGAGAGAGUCCAAGAUCAGAUGGAGAUGCGCAGACUGAUAGAGAUGAGCAGGCAGCUAUGCAAAAUCCAGUCGAGUCAGUUGGGAUUCAGGAACCAGAAACAGAGGUUCAACCACUGAGGAGAAGUACCAGGGUAAAGAAAGAUCCAUCAAAUUGGGUGAACACAAGGAUAUACUACAAUGCGGAGGCCGUAGCACAUCCGACUCAAGCAGUAUGUUCGUUUGCAACAUAUCCAGAGGAGCAUGUGGUCUUCAUGUGUAAUCUGGAUGAGAAUGAGAUCCCAAGGUCUUAUGAGGAAGCCAUGAAGCAUAAGGUCUGGAGAAAUUCAGUGGGUGAUGAAAGGGAUGCAAUGAUCAGGAAUGACACUUGGUAUGAGAGUGAAUUACCAAGAGGGAAGAAGGCUGUGUCUAGCAGAUGGAUCUUCACAAUCAAGUACCGGGCAGAUGGAACUAUUGAGAGACGCAAAACCAGGCUGGUAGCAAGAGGGUUUACACAGACUUAUGGGGAAGACUACAUUGAUACUUUUGCACCAGUGGCUAAGCUUCACACAAUUUGAAUUGUGUUAUCCAUUGCAACAAACUUGGAGUGGGAUCUAUGGCAAAUGGAUGUGAAGAAUGCUUUCCUGCAAGGUGAACUAGAAGAUGAAGUAUACAUGCAUCCACCUCCUGGUCUUGAGCAUCUAGUAAAGCCAGGGAAUGUUUUAAGAUUGAAGAAGGCAAUAUAUGGGCUAAAACAGUCACCUAGAGCUUGGUACAGGAAGUUGAGUACCACUCUCAAUGGGAGAGGCUUUAGUGUAACACCCCCGAACCAUUUAAGACAUCGGUCAGUCAGUCGAGCAACAAUCAAACAAGAACAUGCCCGAACGACCUUCCUCUGCUAAGUCUGGAAGUGUCACAACGGGUUUAGAAUAGACUUUCCAAGUCACAAAACAUAAUUCUGUAACCCAGAAUAUCCAUUCAAAACUCGUUUCCUCUAAUCUUCGGCCUGAGGCUUUGCAACCCGUACCGAGUCAUAGAGUUGUGUUAGGUUGGACUAACCUAAUAUCAGAUUCAACACGUCACGAAUAUUAAACAUACUUUAUUCCAUAUAUAUAUAAAACAUGAAGUUCACGAGCCCAAAAUAUUAUACAUAUGGUCCAUGGACGCAGUCGAAAGUAAAACAUACAUUCAUAUAUCUUGAAAACGAGUCUUUAGCAAAAGAUGUCCAAUCUACACCAGCUCCUACAGUUCCGUGAGUGCUACGGUCUUUUCUACUGGUCACCUGCAAAAGGAUGUGAGGAGUGAGUGAACUAGUUUCACUCAGUGAGCCAGGGUUCCCUAUCUAGCAUAUAUAACUACCCGUCAUUUUAAACCCAACCCCAAACACAAGCAAGACGGGUAGUUCAACAAUCAGUAUUCAAGAUCAUAAAGCAAUACCGAUUUAAGCAAUAAAGCUUUAAACCAUAUUUAAUCAAAACACUCUUUAUGAGUGUCAUUCAAUAAACCAUAUACAUGUACUCCUAGGGCCCAACAGAAUCAUUCUUCCUCCACAUAAGGGACACCGGCAAUCCCUUCACUAUUACACCACACAGGCGUAGGCGCUCGGGAAUCGCCCGGUCACGGUCCUCAAUCGGAAUCACCGUGCCCCGGUCCUCUAUCGGACUCGCCGGGGGCUGUCACAUCCACGUGUGACACCCGGCCUCGGUGAUCAAGCCAAGUUAAACCGAGCCCACCACUUUCCGGACCACGACCGGCUUAGUGGUACCAUUUGAGAAAGCAAUGACCUGCAACUACUACUAGAACCACCACGAGGUUCUCACACAACAAUACCAACACGAGGUACCCACUAUAACAACAUAUAAUAAUUACACAAUCGCAAUAAUCCGGGUGCUUAGACUAGUCUUGCUAUCCACUUAGCCUAGACAUCGUCUCAAGCCUCGGAUCCACAAACUGACACCUAGCCCGGUCCGGCUAUCCUAGCUCGGAAACCGUCUCCGAUGUCAGGAGCCUGCAUUAAAAAUUUGUUAACAAACAAUUAACCGUGACUCACAGUGAUUAACCGAUGUGGCUUGACUUUCUGAUUCCGGAAGCUGACCAAACCCUUUUUAUUCUUCCAAAUCUUCGUCUUGAUUACGUACCGUUAAUCUCGCAAUCUUGUAACACGUCUUGCCUCUCUAAGCAGCUCCUUAAAUAUAUUAUUUAUUUUCCUUCUUUUUUUUUUCUAUUUCUUUUCUCUCUUUCUUUUAUUUCUCUUCUCUCCUGUUCUUUUUCUCCUUCUCUCUCUUGGUCGUUGAUGUUCUGAUCGUGAGAAAAUGGAGGGACUUUGCUUCAUUUAUAUAGUCAACCAAGAUGUAUGAGGUGGUGACAAGUAUCACACUCUUCUUCCCAUCUUUGACCACGUUUUCAAAGCAAUGACUAAGUCAUUUGCUUCCUAGUUGGCCACGUGAUACUCAUAAGCAUGAGCAAGCAUAUUAAUUUAUUUUCUUCCUUUCUUAUAUAGACACCUGAUGAUGACAAAGCAAACCUGUAUGAUUCAUUCUCCUUUCCUUCCCAUCAAACACGUUGAUUGCAACCAAGCCAUAAGAAAUAUAAAAUAUUUCUUUAUCUCCUCUUUUCUUCUCAGCUUGAUUAAUUAACCCAAACUUAGUAAUCAAAACACCAUUCUCAUCGAUCACUUUUCUCCUUUUAAAAGAUAUAGCUUAAUUAUCCAAUUAAGCUACUAACUUACUUUCAAUGCAUCGAUCACUUUUUGUCUUUAGCUUUGUAUUUUUCUUUCCAGAAAAAUUUAUUUCUGAGAAUUUAUUAUGUUGAAUUAUUUAUUUAAAAAUAAUUCUUUCUCAGAAAGACGGGAUAUUACAUCCUCCUCCCCUUAUUAGAAUUCGUCCCCGAAUUCUCUAGGAUGAUCCCUUUUCUUCCAUCACUACGUCUUCAUGGAAGAAUUCUGGAUGCGAUGCUUUGAAUCUUGACUCAUCCUCCCAGGUCACAAUUACAUGGUUUCGCUUACCCCAGAAGACUUGGAUUUGAGGAAUCUCUUGGUUCUUUAGUUUUCGUAUUCGACGUUCACCUAUUCGGAUCGGUCCCUGUGGAUAAGUGAGAUUUGUUUGCAAGUUUUCAAUUUGCUCCGUCUCAAUAGCUUUGGGAUCAUGAACAUGCUUCCGUAGCAUUGAUACGUGAAACACCGGAUGUAUCCGCAUUUCUUCGGGCAGGUUGAGACGGUAAGCAACAUCUCCGAUUCGUUCUUCAAUCUGGUAAGGCCCAAUGAAUCUUACCGCAAGUUUCCCGACUUUCCCGAAUCGAUCUUUUCCUUUCUGAGCUGACACUUUCAGAUAAACCCAAUCACCAAUACUGAACACCACUUCUCGCCUUGAUUGAUCGGCGUAUUUCUUUUGUCUAUCCUGCGCUUUUUUCAUAUUGGUUUGAAUGAUCUCCAACUUUUUCAUCGUCUCUUCUACAAUUUCGGGUCCAAACUCUCUUCUUUCUCCAACUUCGGUCCAACAUAAAGGUGUUUUGCAUGGCCUCCCAUAAAGCGCCUCAUAUGGUGCCAUACCUAUGCUAGAAUGAAAGCUGUUGUUGUAGGAGAACUCGAUUAAUGGUAAAUGCUUUUCCCAGCUUCCCGCCCAAUCCAAUAUACACAUCCGCAUCAUAUCCUCUAUGGUUCGAAUGGUUCUUUCGGUUUGGCCGUCCGUCUCGGGAUGAUACGCGGUGCUAAUAAACAACUUAGUUCCCACUGCUUUUUGUAACGCCUUCCAAAAAUUUGAGGUGAAUCUAGGAUCUCGAUCAGAGACUAUAUCUGUUGGCACACCAUGCAACUUCACAAUCUGAUCCACGUACAUCUCUGUCAAUACUUCUACCUUAUCGGUUUCCUUCAUAGGUAACAAGUGCGCCACUUUUGUCAAUCUGUCGACAAUCACCCAUAUUGCAUUAUUUGAUCUUCCUCUAGCCGGCGGUAACCCAGUGAUGAAGUCCAUGGAUAUGGAAUCCCAUUUCCACUGAGGUACUGGUAAGCUUUGUAAUAAUCCUCCUGGAAUCUGAUGCUCGACUUUGACUUGUUGACAAGUUUGGCAUUGAGCCACCCAUCGCGCCACUGACUUCUUCAUUCCUGGCCAAUGAUAAUACUUUCGGAUAUCUCGAUACAUUUUCGUACUCCCGGGAUGGAUACUGAGUAACGAGUGAUGCGCCGACUUCAAAAUUUCAUCUCGUAGCCCUUCUCCCUGUGGUACUGAUAUCCUCCCAUUAAGUAAAAGUGUACCAUCUGCCGCCACAUGAUAACCACUUGGGUUUGUACCUUCAGGAUUCUUGACUUCCUCGAUGAUUAUCUUUAGCUUUUCAUCACAUUCUUGCUCUUUUCUGAUCCGUGCGAGUAAACCUGCUUGGUCUACGGCACGCGUGCCUAAGGACUCACUUGGUUCUCCCUCAAUUGCCUGUAACGUCAUCAACUUGAGUUCAUUUGAUAACGCUUCCACUUCCUUUCCAACAUCAGACGCCAACUUUCUACGACUUAGUGCAUCUGCGACAACAUUAGCUUUGCCUGGAUGAUAUUGAAUCUUCAAGUCGUAAUCCGCCACAAACUCCAUCCAUCGCCUUUGUCGGAGGUUUAGAUCAGGCUGUGUGAACAAGUACUUGAGACUCUUAUGAUCUGUGAAUACUUCCACGACUUCUCCAUAUAAGUAGGAUCUCCAAAUCCUUAACGCAAACACCACUGCCGCCAUUUCUAAAUCGUGUGUUGGGUAGUUCUCUUCAUGUUUCCUGAGUUGCCUUGAUGCAUAAGCAAUUACUUUGCCUUCCUGCAUCAACACACAACCCAACCCAACCCUAGAAGCAUCUGCGUACACAGUGUAAGGUUUACCUUGUUCAGGUAAUGCCAAUACUGGUGUUGUGGUCAAAGCUUUCUUCAGUCUCUGAAAUGCUUCCACUGUUUCUUUUCCCCAGAUGAACGGAACUCCUUUUCCAGUCAACUUCGUUAGGGGCUUAGCGAUUGAGGAAAAGUCCUUGACGAACUUUCGAUAAUACCCGGCUAACCCGAGGAAACUUCUUACCUCGGUUACCGUUGAUGGCCUUUGCCAUUCCUCGAUGGCUUUCACCUUUUCCGAAUCUACAGAAACUCCUUCUCCGGACACUCGGUGCCCUAAGAAUCCGAUCUCUCUUUUCCAAAAAGAACACUUACUGAACUUUGCAUACAACCUCUGGUUUCUUAACCGUUCCAACACUAGCUUCAAGUGUGCUUUGUGCUCUACCUCUGUCUUGGAAUAUAUUAAAAUAUCAUCGAUGAAGAUUAUCACGAACUUGUCGAGAUAAUCGUGGAAGACUUCAUUCAUCAAUCUCAUGAAGGCCGCCGGUGCGUUAGUAAGUCCAAAUGGCAUUACGACAAACUCGUAUUGUCCAUAACGAGUUCUAAACGCAGUCUUCAUGAAAUCACCUUCUGAAAUUGGAAUCUGAUGAUAGCCCGACGCCAAGUCGAUCUUUGAAAACCAACUUGCUCCCCUUAACUGAUCCAACAAUUCGUCUAUCCUCGGAAGGGGAUACUUAUCUUUGAUGGUGAUAUUGUUGAUUCCUCGAUAAUCAAUGCAAAGCCGCAUGCUACCAUCUUUCUUCUUGACAAAUAAGACCGGAGCUCCCCAUGGUGAAGAGCUAGGUCUUAUGAAACCUUUGUCCAUUAAAUCUUCAAGUUGUGUCUUCAACUCUGCUAACUCUGCAGGUGCCAUGCGGUAAGGAGCCUUUGCUAUCGGCUUAGCUCCAGGUUCCAAGUUAAUUGUGAAAGGGUUACUCCGAGGUGGAGGUAACUCUUUUAACGCUGCAAACACAUCCUCAAACUCUUGUACUACCGCAAUAUCCGUAAUUUUAACUUCAUUGCUAACGGGUCCUUCACUAGCAGUUACUGUUACCAGAUACGCUUCUCCAUCCUUAAGCAAAUCUUCCACUCUCAAGGCAGCUACUAAAGACACAGAUUUGCUUGGACUGAUCCCGUAGAAUACUAUUUGCCGUUGCCCGUUCUCUUUGAACAAAAUACGACCUUUUUCACAAUCUAAUUGAGCCCGAUAGCCUGAUAACCAAUCCAUGCCCAGAAUAACCUCAUAUCCCUUUAAGGGCACCACCAACAAAUCUGCCACAAACAUCUUCUCGCAAAUGACUAACGGAACUCUUCUGAGGCACUCUUUUGCUUGUAGGGUUUGGUCUCCGGGAGUUAUCACAGCCACAUGCAUCCUGUCAAUCACAAAUGAUCUCACAAACUCGGCAGCUACCUCAGGGGUCACAAAGCUAUGUGUUGCCCCCGAGUCGAACAAUACAUGUGUGGGACGCCCCGCAACAUGUAAAGUUCCUGCCACAACAUCAAUAUGUAUCAACAACAUAAAAAUUAUCCAACAGAAAUUAAUCAAUCCAUCACAAGCAAUCACUCAACACAAAAUCAAUCUAGUAAAGUUAAAGAACCCAAAUACCUGUGAUGGGACCCUUAGAUGGGCCUGGAAGUUUAGUAUCCUCUAGUUCUAAAGCGUAAACUCUACCUCCUAUAGCUUGCCUUUUUGGCGCUGGUGCGAUUGCAGGUGGAGCCGGGGGAGGAUGGACACUGAUUGGCGUAGCCGGGAUAGGACGAUUGACACUGUACUGUGUAGAGAUGUGUCCUUUCUUUCCACACGUGUAGCAUGUAGGAUUGUAGGAGUUUGACUGAAAGGAUCCAGGUUUCUUUCCGAAGCAUUCACUCGACUUAUGGCCUAUCUUGCCACAGUUAAAGCAUUUUCCUGUGAAUAGAGAUCGUCGAGUUGGCCUUCCUGAUUCCUUUUCCUUAUCUUUACCCUUAAAUGAUCUUUGAUUUCCACCAUACUUUCCUUGUUCAUGCUGCUUGGACUUUUUACUUGCCGCCUUCUCAGCUUCUAAUCCGAUCUCUACAUUCACAGCUUUUUCCACUAGGUCGGUGAGACUCUCGUAGUUCCCGACUGCCAGUCUAUUUUCUAACUCUGGUUUUAAACCAAACAUAAAGUUGGAUAUCAUGGUUUCUUCAUCAUCUUGUCCCUGCAGCACAUGUCGUCGCAGUCGCAUGAACUCCGAUUCAUAUUCUCUAACUGUCUUGUCUCCUUGUGCUAGGUUAGCAAACUGACGUUGAAGCCUUCGCUUGGACUCCGGGGUGAAAUACUUGCGUUCAAAUUCCUUUUUGAAUGCCGCCCAAGUGGUGACCAGAUGUCCUACUUGGCGAUUCCUGUUUUCCCACCAUUCUGCCGCAUCUUUUUCUAAGUAAUACACCGCCAUCUUUUUCUUAGACUCUUCAGAACACGUCAGGGUCUCAAAGUUUUUCUCCAUAGUUCGAAGCCACUGGUCAGCUUCAAAUGGGUCUGUCCCUCCUUCAAAAUGUGGUGUCUUCAUGUUUUUCAUGGCAGUUAUCAAUGGUAACAUCGGUGUAGCCACUGUAGGUUGUGGUGGUACGAGUGGCUGAGGUUGCACCUGAGGUUGUUGCAGUGACCUCGCUAUCACGUCAUGAAGCAUCUUCAGAGUAUGCUCCAUUCCUAUUCCUUGUUGUGGUUGAUCAUGAACUUCUUGUUCAAUCGGGUUGCUCCGUCUUAUUGGUCUUGGUCCUUGGACACUUGACUCACUAUCAUCUGUUUCUGGUCUUUCCCUUACACUACGGUUCGGUGGAAAGUGUUCUUCUUGUGGCCUUGACUGGUCGUGCCCAAACAGAUUGUCAUUUUCCACUAUGUUAUCUUCGCUGAACUCCUGGUUGGUGUGUGCUAGUGUUUGCACUCUUACGUCGGAUUCAUAUCCCAGCCCUCGUCUUCUUGAGAUUCUUCCUGUACCCAGCAUCCAAUCCUGUCCCCCUUCACUCCUUCCCCUUCUUGCCAUCUGCAAUCCAUAAACAGGGAAUUUCCUAUUUAGAAUAAUAAUUAGAACGGAACUCUGCUGGUUUCCUAAUACAUCUUUUGCGACACAUUUGACUCGAUAAAACAUGAAAAAUGCGUGAUUGACCGCAUGAUCUAAACCAUGCUCUGAUACCACCUCUGUAACACCCCCGAACCAUUUAAGACAUCGGUCAGUCAGUCGAGCAACAAUCAAACAAGAACAUGCCCGAACGACCUUCCUCUGCUAAGUCUGGAAGUGUCACAACGGGUUUAGAAUAGACUUUCCAAGUCACAAAACAUAAUUCUGUAACCCAGAAUAUCCAUUCAAAACUCGUUUCCUCUAAUCUUCGGCCUGAGGCUUUGCAACCCGUACCGAGUCAUAGAGUUGUGUUAGGUUGGACUAACCUAAUAUCAGAUUCAACACGUCACGAAUAUUAAACAUACUUUAUUCCAUAUAUAUAUAAAACAUGAAGUUCACGAGCCCAAAAUAUUAUACAUAUGGUCCAUGGACGCAGUCGAAAGUAAAACAUACAUUCAUAUAUCUUGAAAACGAGUCUUUAGCAAAAGAUGUCCAAUCUACACCAGCUCCUACAGUUCCAUGAGUGCUACGGUCUUUUCUACUGGUCACCUGCAAAAGGAUGUGAGGAGUGAGUGAACUAGUUUCACUCAGUGAGCCAGGGUUCCCUAUCUAGCAUAUAUAACUACCCGUCAUUUUAAACCCAACCCCAAACACAAGCAAGACGGGUAGUUCAACAAUCAGUAUUCAAGAUCAUAAAGCAAUACCGAUUUAAGCAAUAAAGCUUUAAACCAUAUUUAAUCAAAACACUCUUUAUGAGUGUCAUUCAAUAAACCAUAUACAUGUACUCCUAGGGCCCAACAGAAUCAUUCUUCCUCCACAUAAGGGACACCGGCAAUCCCUUCACUAUUACACCACACAGGCGUAGGCGCUCGGGAAUCGCCCGGUCACGGUCCUCAAUCGGAAUCACCGUGCCCCGGUCCUCUAUCGGACUCGCCGGGGGCUGUCACAUCCACGUGUGACACCCGGCCUCGGUGAUCAAGCCAAGUUAAACCGAGCCCACCACUUUCCGGACCACGACCGGCUUAGUGGUACCAUUUGAGAAAGCAAUGACCUGCAACUACUACUAGAACCACCACGAGGUUCUCACACAACAAUACCAACACGAGGUACCCACUAUAACAACAUAUAAUAAUUACACAAUCGCAAUAAUCCGGGUGCUUAGACUAGUCUUGCUAUCCACUUAGCCUAGACAUCGUCUCAAGCCUCGGAUCCACAAACUGACACCUAGCCCGGUCCGGCUAUCCUAGCUCGGAAACCGUCUCCGAUGUCAGGAGCCUGCAUUAAAAAUUUGUUAACAAACAAUUAACCGUGACUCACAGUGAUUAACCGAUGUGGCUUGACUUUCUGAUUCCGGAAGCUGACCAAACCCUUUUUAUUCUUCCAAAUCUUCGUCUUGAUUACGUACCGUUAAUCUCGCAAUCUUGUAACACGUCUUGCCUCUCUAAGCAGCUCCUUAAAUAUAUUAUUUAUUUUCCUUCUUUUUUUUUUUCUAUUUCUUUUCUCUCUUUCUUUUAUUUCUCUUCUCUCCUGUUCUUUUUCUCCUUCUCUCUCUUGGUCGUUGAUGUUCUGAUCGUGAGAAAAUGGAGGGACUUUGCUUCAUUUAUAUAGUCAACCAAGAUGUAUGAGGUGGUGACAAGUAUCACACUCUUCUUCCCAUCUUUGACCACGUUUUCAAAGCAAUGACUAAGUCAUUUGCUUCCUAGUUGGCCACGUGAUACUCAUAAGCAUGAGCAAGCAUAUUAAUUUAUUUUCUUCCUUUCUUAUAUAGACACCUGAUGAUGACAAAGCAAACCUGUAUGAUUCAUUCUCCUUUCCUUCCCAUCAAACACGUUGAUUGCAACCAAGCCAUAAGAAAUAUAAAAUAUUUCUUUAUCUCCUCUUUUCUUCUCAGCUUGAUUAAUUAACCCAAACUUAGUAAUCAAAACACCAUUCUCAUCGAUCACUUUUCUCCUUUUAAAAGAUAUAGCUUAAUUAUCCAAUUAAGCUACUAACUUACUUUCAAUGCAUCGAUCACUUUUUGUCUUUAGCUUUGUAUUUUUCUUUCCAGAAAAAUUUAUUUCUGAGAAUUUAUUAUGUUGAAUUAUUUAUUUAAAAAUAAUUCUUUCUCAGAAAGACGGGAUAUUACAUCUAGGAAGUCUGAACUGGAUCACACUCUCUUCACCUUGACAGGACCUUCAGGGAUCAUUGUGAUUCUAGUGUAUGUGGAUGAUUUGAUUAUCACAGGAAGUGAUAAGGCAGGGAUUCAGGCUACUAAGGAGUUUCUCAAAUCAGUGUUUGACAUCAAGGAUUUGGGAGAGAUGAAGUAUUUUCUGGGUAUUGAGAUAUGCAGAUCAAAGGAGGGCUUGUUUAUGUCUCAAAGGAAGUACACUCAGGAUCUGUUGAAGGGCGCUGGUAAGCUUGGAGGAAAGACAGCUAAGACACCUCUUGAGGAUGGGUAUAAGGUUUUGCUUGAGGGGGAGAUUGAAAACAAUCAGCCAUUUGAAGAUGCUAAGCUGUAUAGGAAGAUGGUUGGGAAGCUGAUCUACUUGACAAUCACCAGACCAGACAUAUGUUUUGCUGUGAAUCAAGUUAGCCAGCAUAUGCAAGCUCCAAAGAUGCACCAUUGGAACAUGGUAGACAGAAUCUUGAGGUAUUUGAAUGUCUCUAGCGGCCAAGGAGUCUGGAUGGGAUGCAAUAGGAGUACAGAAGUGGUUGGUUAUUGUGAUGCUGACUGGGCCGGAGAUAGAGUUGAUAGGAGAUCAACUACUGGGUAUUGUACCUUCAUUGGAGGGAACUUGGUUACAUGGAAGAGUAAGAAGCAGAAGGUUGUCUCAUGUUCUAGUGCUGAGGCUGAAUAUAGAGCCAUGUUGAAGCUGACUAAUGAGCUAGUGUGGAUCAAAGGGAUAUUGAAGCAUUUGAGGAUUGAGCAGACCACUCCUAUGACAAUGCAUUGUGACAAUCAGGCUGCUAUUCACAUUGCCUCUAAUUCUGUGUUUCAUGAGAGAACAAAGCACAUAGAAGUUGAUUGUCACAAGGUGAGGCAGAUGAUUGUCCUAGGAGUAAUACUGCCAUGCUACACGAGGAGUGAGGAUCAACUGGCUGAUGUGUUUACUAAGGCAGCGAGGCAGAAGACAAUAGAGUCCAUACUAUCAAGGCUUGGACUCAUUGAUCUUACUCCCAGGAGCUGAUCCCCUUAACCAUGGAGUCUCUACUCUUUUUCCCUCAUCAAGGUUUUAUCCCAAUGGGUUUUCCUUGGUGAGGUUUAUAACGAGGGAGAUCUUCAUGGUUUCCAAGCUAGACAAGUUCAGUUAGUCUAGCUUGAGGAGGAGUGUUGAGAUGAAGAUCAAGAAGUGGAGAGAUGAAGCUUUGGGGUUCAGUAGAGUGAUGAGGUAGAAACAGUAACUUCAGAGAGUUACCAUGUCUGGAUGGAAGUGACUUGGGAAGUUACUUUGGCUCUAUCCUGAUGAAGGAACUCGUCCAAGAGAGGGAUGGAUAAGGUUUGGGGCU